rnacentral:rRNA from 1 species
UACGUAGGGCGCAAGCGUUAUCCGGAAUUAUUGGGCGUAAAGAGCUCGUAGGCGGUUUGUCGCGUCUGCCGUGAAAGUCCGGGGCUCAACUCCGGAUCUGCGGUGGGUACGGGCAGACUAGAGUGCGGUAGGGGAGAUUGGAAUUCCUGGUGUAGCGGUGGAAUGCGCAGAUAUCCGGAAGAACACCGGUGGCGAAGGCGGCUCUCUGGACCGAUACUGACGCUGAGGCGCGAAAGCGUGGGGAGCAAACAGGG